rnacentral:pre_miRNA from 1 species
AAUAAGUGCAGUUUUAGCAUUGUUCAUGUCUUAUUUAAAAAAAGAUUAUGAUUAGUAUUUUUAUUGUUAUUAGAUGAUAAAUCAUGAAUAGUACUUUAUGUGUGACUAAUUUUUAUAAUAUUUUUCAUAAAUUUUUCAAAUAAGACAGAUAGUCAAAAUGCUAAACACGGAUAUAUAUGGCUGCACUUAUU